AUGAAAUCCUGCCUCAAAAAGCUGGAGCCACGUUUCACAGAGCCCAUGAGUCUUUGUGUGUGAGGCCCUCAUUUCCUCUGCCCUGCAGAAUGAUUUCCCUUUGGCACCCAAAGGUGAAGCCAGGACAGCUGAGGAAGGGCGACAGCAGUUCAAACAUGAUAUUCCACCACGUAAAUACUCCCCAAGCACCAGUGCUGGAAUAGCACUCUCAGCAAUUCAUUGGUCCACAGGAAAAAAUAAAAGUACACCUGAAAAUGAACAUUGCAUGCAGAGUUGCCUGAAAUACUGUGUCCAGCAUUAAUAUUUCCAAUUUAGUCGUUUCCAAAAGUGGACGCAAAUGAGGAACACGAGCUGGUCACCAUAUCCUCACAAGGACUAUUCCUAAUACAAUGAAAAUAGCUUGUUGGUGUAAUCCGUAGAGUAAACUGCAGUUGGGUGUGUGUCUCUAUGUCCCUUUCUGAGUCACUUUCAUCACAAUUCACAUGACCAGGAGAUCAAGUACCAUAGACACGUUUUGUCUUCCAGGCCUUGCUUGUUUUGAAUAAAGCACUUUAGAGUGUUCCCAGUCGCAGAGAGGAGCAUAAGCCUGAGAAGAAAGAUUAAUAUAACCAUGCUGAUAGGAAGACCAUCUCAGAGCCACAAUCAUUAGAAAAAAAGACACACUUGAUUUAAUUUUCAGUCUAAAAUUUUCUAGUCUUGCUAGACAAACUUUUCCAGAAAUGGCUUCUCUCCUUUUGAACAAAACAAAGCAAUGGAAAAAAAACAUAAGAGGGACACUGAUCCUGGAGAAGGAAGAAGAAUGUUUUAGCUCAGAAGCUAAACAAGGCAUCCAGAAAAAUAAAGAAGUUGUUUUGACUACUAUUCCCUAUGCGGAAAUUGUCACUUCUCUGCAACACCCAGUCCUUCCUAAAAGCUCAGUAAAUGGACCCAGUAAACUGGCUCCUAUGUUGCCUCAUCUUCUCUCCAUUGUCACACAUGGCAGGAAGGAUCCCAAGGGAAGAAAACUCACAACAAAAGGUAAAGGGCAUUAGAGUUGCGGAGCCCAGGCAGGGACAGAAUAAGCGCAGGUGUAAAAAUCGUCUUUGGCUGUGAAGUAGCAAGCUGCUUAUUCCCAGGAGGAUAAGGACUGUGUCUAAAUUAAUCCUGCCCCUGGCAUGAAUUUUAAAGAAUCAGGCACUUUUACCAGUGUGACUGCUGCUAUUAUGGCUAAGCUGAUGCAAUAUAUAGGAUAAAGGGUUUAGCUUAGGCAUUUUAAAUGAUCUGCAGGUUUUAGGCUUUAAAACAAGGUUGACAAUUUGUUUCUACAAAGUGACAAAUGGUAGAUAUUUUAGGUGUUCGGGGCCAUGAUCUGUCACCAACACAGAAAUCUGCUCUUGCAACAAGAAGGCAGCACCAGACCCUGUGUGAAAUAAUGGGAGCGGUGGGUUCCUCCAGGCCACAGGGUGCCGGCUCCCACCCUCAGUUAUUAACAGCGGUUGCCAGAGUUGUUCCAAGUAUGAUUUUGAGGGAGUGGGAGUAGAAGUGGCUGAUGAAGAGGUUUAUUGUCAAAAACAAAACAGAACAGAACAAAAACAAGCCCCCCCAAUUCCCAUAGCUCCUACUAACACCUGUCAAUAUUUCUCUAAGGGAAAAGUUUUCAGGCAAUGCAAAGAGAUCAUAAACACCAAUACCACAGACUUCCUUCCAGCUCUACAGCUCUUCUCGUGAUCUAUUUCUCACCACUUUUGCAAGUCGCAUGGCACCCAAAGAGACAGAGAGGACUCAUCUAACGAAGAGAAUAAUGUCCAGGCUGGGUUUGAACCCAUCAGCCCCAGUGGCCAGUGCCCCAGCCGACUGAGCCAGGGACUACGAAUCUUGAUCCUUGUCUACUCCCAAUCAGCAGUAUGGGAAGGUAAACAUGGAGAGGCAUUUCCAGUAUGAGGACCACAGACGAGAAGUAAGCAUCUGAAAGAGCCCCUCCAAACUUACCAGGAAUGGAAAAUAGCUCUCCUUGGAAGUGAGAAAAAUUUCUAAGUGAAGGCUGAGCCAGAGACAAAGUCUUUUGUUUGCGUAGUGAUAUCAGGAUGCAUUAAUGGAAGUCAGGAGAGACUAAAGGAAGGAGAUAAAACUAAAAUGUCUGUCAUCAAGGCCACUAUACAGAACAUCCUGGGCUUUAUCCCACCUUAAGAGCCUGCAGAAUGCCUAUCAGAAUUUUAUUCCUGAGUAUCUGUCAUCAAGGAGGGGUCAUAAUCUAUUGGUUGAGAUCUACUCUGCAAGAAUUACCUCUGUUUUCCACCCCUCUCCACUUCCCUACCAUCUGCAUGGGUCAGCGCCAAUUCUUGGUCAUUCUUGGCCACAGAUCAAGAGAAAAAAAAUGAGCUUCAGGAGAGAUGCUGUGAGCUUACAGGAAACUGAAGUCCAAAGAAAAUUGUCUACUGCUGUUGUUGCUGAAAUCAAUGGGGAGGUCUGAAGAAUGGGGGCAGGACAUCAGAAGCAUUUGAUACAAUUAUGAUAGUUCUUUUUAAGUAGUGUCAAAAAUUGU